GUUCCUGAGAAAAAUGUGACGAAAAUUUUUAACUUGGCUAUCAUGUGUAAAAUCAUACAAGUGUUCGGUAAACAGGAAGUUGUCGUGUGAUGAAUCUGAAAACGCAUCACACGGUAUAGCUGACUUAUAUAAAUCCGGAAACCAAAUUUCAGAAAUCCUUGUAUUGUAGUUCCUGAGAAAAAUGUGACGAAAAUUUUCAACUUGGCUAUCAUGUGUAAAAUCAGACAAGUGUUCGGUAAACAGGAAGUUGUCAAGUGAUGAAUCUGAAAACGCAUCACAGGGUAUGGCUGACAUAUAUAAAUGUUGAUACCAAAUUACAGAAAGGGUGGAUGUGUAGUUCCUGAGAAAAAUGUGACGAAAGUUUCAUGGGACGGACUGACUGACUGACUGACGGACGGACUG
rnacentral:lncRNA from 1 species